GCUGGCAGUUGCUUUUUAGUGCUAAUGGCCAGCUUCUCCUCCCACUUCUGUCUCCACAAUGAAUUGUUGACAAAUCUUUCCAGCAACCUUUUAAAAGACCAAAUGCAUACAAAGUGUUUUAGAGUGAGAAAGAGAGACGUGAGAGAAUCUACACAGGUUUGUGGCUGUGUACUUAUACUGGAUUUAUGGACAAUGUGAUGUCUAUUAAAAAUGAAGGGCAAAUAACAAUGUCUACCUCAAAGGCCAGAGCAGACACCCCUUUCUGACAUGGCUGUGAUCAGGAUAGUGUGCACCAGACCAAUGAAAUAUGACACUGCCACUCAGUCAAGGAGGGACUGUGUAAUCAGGGGACUGGUGCUGUGUGAAUGAGCUAAUCAGCUUCCUGCUCUCCAGAGAACACGUUGUUCAGUGAUCACCAACAGCCAGAGAAACCAACCAAGUCUGAUGCAUCAAACUGCUUCAAAUUAAAGAUCCAAGUAGAUUGUUCCAUCAUCUGUUCAAAAUGUAUGGCUUGCUGAAACAUAGUCUUCCAACCAAACCUAGCUGUCAAUCAAGCGGUAAAGUAAUAUAGUAGGACUUUUUGACCACACUAACCACAGAAGCUCAGAUGCCUUCAUGGCACCCUAUAUGCUCACUGGGGCUUGGGAUUCUCCCAAGACAUCUGCGUAACAGCUGCCACUACCAUUGGCUGCAUUUGUUAUUACAUUUGCUGUAGCUGCUUGGUUUAUAGGUCCCUUUUGCCCCAAGCUAAGUGCUUCAUACUGCCCUCCUUUCCAGAAUGGGGAGAAGUACUUUUUUUUUUUUUUUUUUUUCUUUUUCAUUUGUGUGUGUUUCUGGGAUGGAAUGUCAAUCUUCUACAACUGCAGAGACAUCUUCUACUCUCACUCACAUUUGGGACAGAUGUUUGCUGUAGUGAAUAUGC